rnacentral:rRNA from 1 species
AAAAGCUAUUUAAGGUAAGAUUAAUACAUUUAAUCCCGAGAAUAGAAACUCUUGAAGAAGUAAAUUAUCUACCCGUCUUGAAACACGGACCAAGGAGUCUAACAUGGAUGCGAAUGAGAAUAGCAGGAAAGCUAUAACAUGAAGAGAAAACGAAAAACUAUGAGAGUGUAGAAAUACAUUUAGCAAUAGUAUCUUUCAAUAGAAGAAGUAAAUAUGUUAGGACCCGAAAGAUGGUGAACUAUACUUGAACGGAUUGAAGCCGAAGGAAACUUUGGUGGAAGAUUCACGCAGUGUUAACGUGCAAAUUACUUGUCAUAUUUGAGUAUAGGGGCGAAAGACUCAUCGAACUAUCUAGUAGCUGGUUCCACCUGAAUAUUCCCUUAGGAAGGUCAAAGUAUUAAUAGUAUUGAUUGGUAAAGAUAAUGAUUAGGUGUAAUGGGUGAGUAUUUUCACUCAACAUCUUGUCAAACUAUGAAUAAACAAAGAAGAAUUCUCAGUGUUAAAUACACUUCAGGAAUUUAAAUAUAAACAUACUUUGAAUCGGCCAAGUCUGGUAAGCAGGACUGGCGAUGCGGGAUGAACCGAACGUCGAGAUAAAGUGCCAAAAAGAAACAUAACGAGUACCACAAAAGGUAUUCAUUCAUAUUGACAAUAGGACGGUGGCCAUGGAAGUCGGAAACCGCUAAGGAAUGUGUAACAACUCACCUAUCGAAUGAAUGAGUCCUGAAAAUGGAUGGCAUUAUAAUUUCUUAACUGAUACUCGACCGUUAAAAUGAAGACAUUUUAACGAGUAAGGAAACGAAAUGGCGUAAGGACAACAAAAGUAGUAAAGAUUUAAAGUAAUUUAGAUUGAAACUGUCCUUAGUGCAGAUCUUGGUGGUAGUAGCAAAUACUAAGAAGAGGAAAAAAACAUCUUAGAACUGAAGAGGAGAAAGGUUCCUAAACAACAUUACUUGGAUUAGGGUGAAUCGAUCCUAAAUUACAGAUGGAAAUCCUUAAGAAAUAUAUAAGUGACAUAUAGUCAAUAUAAGGAUUGAAAGGGAAUAAGAUUAAUAGUUCUUAAUCAAGAGAAUUAAUGAUUAAAUCUUAGAAAUAAGAUUAAAUCGAAUAAAAUGGUAACAUAUCAUGAACUUUAAAAUGGAGUGUGAAAAUCUACGGAAGAGUUCUCUUUUCUUCUUAACAAAAGUAAACUCCACUGAAAUGAAUCAAUCAGAGAAGUGGAAUUUAUUGGCUUUGUAAGAAAUUCAACAUAUGAUUGAAUUGUGGUAUUUUUGCAGUCUUCAUAAAAAUUAAAGGGAAUCUUAGCAUAAAGCUAAUUAAAGAAUUCUUUUGCUCGUACUAAUAACCGCAACAGGUCUCCAAGAAGCAAAAUCUUUAGUUAAAUAGAAUAACGCAGGUAAGGGAAGUCGGCAACAUAGCUCUGUAAGUUAGCAAGAAAGAGUAGCUCUGGUGAUUUCCUUGUAAAAGGAUUAAAAUCGAAUCAGAACUUUAAAGGUUAGGGGAAUCCGACUGUUUAAUAAAAACAUAGCAUUCUGAUAAAUCUAAAAGGUUCAUUACAGAAUGUGAUUUCUGCCCAGUGCUCUGAAUGUCAAGGUAAUGAAAUUUACUUAAGCGCGGGUUAACGGCGGGAGUAACUAUGACUCUCUUAAGGUAGCCAAAUGCCUCGUCAUCUAAUUAGUGACGCGCAUGAAUGGAUCACCGUGAUUCCCACUGUCCCUAUCUGCAAUCUAGUGAAACCACAGUCAAGGGAACGGGCUUGAUUGGAACGGCGGGGAAAGAAGACCCCUGUUGAGCUUGACUCUAAUUUAUCAUG